AAUAGUACGGGACUAUCUGGCCCUGCAAAAUAGCAGGGUUAGCCGGGCAAUUGCGGGGUUAGCCGGGCAAUUGUGGUGCUAAGCUGCGUAGCGUGAAUCCAAACCGGGCUAAGGAGAAGCGGGGCUAAGCAACAGCCAAUCACAGACAGCGUGGUCGUGUGGUCGUGAAUUUGCAUUUAUCGCGCGCUAUGCAUGCAGUUCACGUUACGCAUGCAUGCAGUUCACGUUACGCAUGCAUGCUCUCUGUAUUGACGUUUAGUCUUUUACGAGGCAGAGGUCAUUAUGAAAAAAUCUUUAUUAUAAAAUUGAUUUAAAAAAAUAGUGAAAGAACAUGUAGCUCAUAAUUUUUUAUUGCAUUUAUCAUUAUCAGUCAUAUUUACGUAGGUAAAUUUAUCAAGUGAAUUGGAUGAAAAAUGGGUAAUUGAUUUGUAUCGGUAAAAUAAUAAAGGGAAAACGCUUUGCGCAAGGCUGGAUAACACAACACGAGCGAGCUAAAAUUAUUACGUACCGUACUGUAUAUUGUUGGUCUUUUUACCACAAGCAAAGAGUUCGUUGACCGAUAUUGAUUAUAGUUCAAUUGUUGCAUUGAUUGUCUCCUGAUUUUAAUUGUAUUUACACCGGAAUGACGGCUUUACCCAUCAGAAGGACCAAUUGGGAAGAUGUUGAAAUCAGGUUUUUCCUGAGUCUGUGGGCAGAGGGGGAGGUCCAGCAGCAGCUGGAUGGCACGGUCAGGAACAAGAAAGUUUUCGACGAUAUGGCAAGGAAGAUGGCAGACGCGGGGUAUAACCGGUCACCAAAUCAGCUCCGAGACAAGUUAAAAAAACUGAAGAAGGACUAUAAAGAUGCCAGAUCAAAUAAUGCUACAAGUGGGGCUGCAAGACAACAGUGCCCAUUUUAUGACUUACUGCAUCCAAUCAUGGGUAAUCGACCUGCCAUAGAGCCCCAGGUGCUGGUUGACACAGCAGAUGAUAGAGCUGAAGGUGCGGACGUUCCUGCUCAUGCCGAUGGUGCAGACUUAAGUGGCAGACGAGUGGCAGUGUCAUCGAGGAUGUUUUGGAACUGGAAGGUGGUGCGCGUGCUGAAGACAAUACUGUGAUUGCUCCAAAAGCAGAAGACCAACCAUCAACGUCUACUCCCAAGACCAAUGUAAAAGUAAGGGGAAGGAAGCGACAGGCUGAGGAGCCAGCAGAGAUGGAGAAGACCCUGAAAAUACUGACAGAUCACCAGGACAAUGCCAGGAGAGAGUAUAGAGAAUGGGAAGAGCGACGGGAAGAAGCGCAAGAGAGGAGAGAGGAGAGGAGACGCGAAGCAGAACGCGAGCAUGAAAUGAAGAUGAUGGAGGUCAUGGCACGGAUGUUCAAUCAGAACGACCGCCGAGAAAAUGACAACCGCAAAGAAAAUAACAACCGCCAAGAAAAUAACCGCCCAGAAAAUAGCAACCGCCAAGAAAAUAACAAUCGUCAAGAAAA